CGCAGCUAGCGUCGCUCAGCUCAUAAGUCCUUCGAAAAAAACGUGCCCCCUUUUGUUACCCCCCCUUUCGGUCUCAUCUCUUCCUUCACCCCCCUUCGUUUCCUUGUGAGACCCCUCCCCUCCUUUUUGAACUUAAUGUUGCACCCUCUCUCUCUCUCUCUAAAAAUUGUGUUUGAAGCAAACCAUUCCCCACAUUUCAAAGACAACUUCCCCUUCAUCUUUUGGUGUCUCUCUCUUGAAUUGGGUCGGAGCCAUUUUCAACCCCACAUUCCACACCUUCGCACUCCUUCCCCCUUCACCAAACUCCUUCUGAAACCCACAAUCUAAUCUUGAUUACUUCCAUAUGGUGAGGAUGGAGGGCAAUGGCUGCCAAUGGACACUUGGAUCAUGCCACAUCUCUAAAUCGAAAGGGCAAGAAAAGAUGCCACCUAUUCACCAUGCGCAAAUGGGCGGAGUUACUAACUCCGGACAAAGACAAGCAUUGGCCAGGAUAGGUCUGUGGGAGGUUUGCAGGAUUAGACCUUUCAGUUUCGAUUGCACCUUAAUCACAGAGUUGUGCCUUCGUAUAGGCCAGAGACGAGUUUGAUUCCCCUACGUCGUGGUGAGAUCACUCUUACUCUUGAGGAUGUUACCCGGAUUCUCGGGGUUCGGAGUGAGGGCGAGCCCUUUUUGAGUAUUCCUCCGAAGUCGUGUGUUAGCUAUGCCUCUGCGUGUACGGAGCUCCUAGGUAUCCCUUACGAGAGGAUCCGAGGCAAGCAUGAGUCGGACAUCCAUCUAGGGAAGCUGUGAUGGGAAGUCACCCGCAUCCCUUAUCGUGCGGAGAGGAGGACGGGUGGUCGGGCUCCUCAUAUUUCGAUUUCCGCAGUUAGCAGACUACCCCGUAAAGGGAAGGACCCGGUGGAAGAAGCUAGUGAGUCGAGGGCCCCUGGAGUGCGUGGGUCGGUUCAGGGUGAAUCUAGCCAUCCUUUGACCAGAGCGACCACCCGAGCCUUGGCAGAGUCAGGGGACCCAGAGGGAAUUAGGUUCGAAGACGACGCGUCUUCAGAUGAGGAUACAGUUUCUUCUUCAGUGUUACUUUCUGAUGAGGAGAGGCGGGAGCGAGAGAGUGAGACGAUUCGAGAUGCUUAUGAGCGGGCCAUGAUCAUGAGUGAGCCGGAGGUGUUCCGUUAGAAGGUUGAUUUGACCGUCGAUCACAUGCCACUUUCAGAUGGCGAGAGACGCUCUUUGCAGGCUUUUUUGGCAUACUUAUUCAAGGAGUUUCUGUUUCCCGAUUGAUCUAAGGGCCGAGCUCAUCUUUCGGUGGUUUGGGUGGUCAGAGAUUUGGAUUACUUAGAGUGAGUGGCCUGGGGUCCGGCGAUUGUGGGUUGGUUACAUCAUCAUCUCUGUGGUGUCACCAAGGGAGCUCGCUAUUUAGGUGGAUGGUCCAUUCUUCUCCAGGUUUGGGCGUGGAAGCAUAUCACCAUCCCUCGCCCUCUUCCAGGCCGACUAGCACCAUCAUUUUCGACCAUUCAUCGCUAGUCAUAUGAAGUGUGGGAGACUAAGGAGGUUUUCUCGAGAUUGUAUUAUUCAUUUUUCCUGGACACCCAAGCCGCCGGAGAGAUUGACUGGACUCCGAUGAGCAUUGACCCUGUCCCACUGGUUUAUGUUGCAUCUUCUCGAACUUUCAGGACGACGACCCAUUUGAUCUGUAUGUUCUUGGUGAUGCCGUACUUUCUAGGUCGGGUGCAUCGUCAGUUUGGCCUUCCUCAAUCUUCUUUCGAUAUUACGCCAUCUUGGACUCCCAUAUGGUUAGCACUGCUGAUGGGAUUCAUAUAUGAGGGAGAUGAUCCCUUGGAUAGCGGAGUGGAGGGACAGGGCUGCACAUGUUAUUGGUGAGCAGAGGAAGGGAGCAUCCCUUUGUCUUUAUAUGAGAAGUACAAGGUUGUUUUGAGGGAUGUGGCUGCCCUGAACGAACAUGGUGAGGGGGUGAUGCGGGAGCAGAGGACUGCUUAUCUUGAUGAGGGUCGAUCAUCUACUGAUGAAGUCGCUUCCCUUCAUGCUGAGCGUGAUUCAGCAGUCGAGGAGCCGGAUUCGAUAGCAGAGGAUUUCGAGCAUCUACGUCAGAAUUUUGAUAGGAUGGUGGCGGACUCCCUGAGGGAUAAUAUGGAGAGAGUACGAUCAAUACCAUCCUUCUCUUUUGUUGCUCUUACUCUUCUUGGACCAUCUCUCGACCGCAUUAGAGCUUUAGAGAGAUGCGUAGAUCGCUACCGAUCGGAGAGGAGAUGAAUGUCAGGAGCUUAAGGAGGACGUGAAGGAUCUUAUGGACAGGUGUGGCAGACUGUCAGGACUCCUAUUGGCUGCAGGUGGCAACCCUUCUUUAGCAUAUAUGAAUCCUUAUGUGAGGGUGUCAUUACCAUCUUUUGUUCGGAGUCAGUCACGGUCUUGAGUGUCUACUCAGAUGACAAGGGGUCCAAGGCAGGUUCAACCGAGAUUGGAGGGAGAGGCGAGCAAUCGUCCAGCAGGGGUCGAGGAGGAUUCAGUAUCAAAGAAGUGACCUUCAUCUCUUUUUUUUUUCUUUUUUUCUUUUUUUAAAAUAGGAGAUCAUUAUGGACCCUGAAGUACAUAUAAAUAUAUGGCUCUCUCCUUUCUCGUUU